rnacentral:rRNA from 1 species
CGGACGGGUGAGUAACGCGUGAGUAAUCUACCUUCGGAUGGGGAAUAACAGUCGGAAACGACUGCUAAUACCGCAUAAUGCAGCGGCAUCAUAAGAUGACAGUUGUUAAAGUAUUUAUACGUCUGGAGAGGAGCUUGCGGCAGAUUAGCUAGUUGGUAGGGUAACGGCUUACCAAGGCUACGAUCUGUAUCCGACCUGAGAGGGUGGUCGGACACACUGACGCUGAAUAACGGGUCAGACUCCUACGGGAGGCAGCAGUCGGGAAUUUUGGGCAAUGGGCGAAAGCCUGACCCAGCAACGCCGCGUGAAGGAUGAAGUCUUUCGGGAUGUAAACUUCGUAAGAAUAGGAAGAAUAAAUGACAGUACUAUUUGUAAGGUCCGGCUAACUACGUGCCAGCAGCCGCGGUAAUACGUAGGGACCAAGCGUUGUUCGGAUUUACUGGGCGUAAAGGGCGCGUAGGCGGUGUGACAAGUCACUUGUGAAAUCUCCGGGCUUAACUCGGAACGGUCAAGUGAUACUGUUGUGCUAGAGUGCAGAAGGGGCAAUCGGAAUUCUUGGUGUAGCGGUGAAAUGCGUAGAUAUCAAGAGGAACACCUGAGGUGAAGACGGGUUGCUGGGCUGACACUGACGCUGAGGCGCGAAAGCUAGGGUAGCAAAUGGGAUUAGAUACCCCAGUAGUC